AGAUUUAUCUAGAGAUCUGUGCAGCGCUCCUGCUUGCUGUAAUGGUCGAACUGGCUCUUCCAGUGCAUCAUGUAGGAGCUCCAGCGAUGGAACUCCACUUUCCACUGCCUCUCAACAUCAUCAAUGUUGUCUGGUGUUGCCUGUUGUAUCAGUCAGCUGAAGAAUAUAUGAAGUGUCCAAGUAAAACCUCACAGAAGCUACAAAGAUGCCUAAAUUGUACCUGGCGAUUCCAGUUCACAAGCCGGCUUUGCUUCAGCGCCUCUCCCCCAGGCUCUUCCCCUCCUCUGCCUGUCCUUGAAUGAAGAAAGCCAGAAUUGUUACCGUGCCGUAGGGCGAUAAGAAAAAGCAGGACAACUGGGCUGGGGGUAGCGUGAAGGGAGUGAAUUGAAGUCUCGCCUGUCUGAUUUUAACGCUGGAUCAAGCCUCUUAACGGAACUAGGAGAACAGCCGUAAUUUACUGCUGUGUCAGUAGGGGGAGACUCCUUAUAAUAAGCAUAAUCGACCAAAAAAAAACUGUAGAGUUCUCGCGAGACUACGAACCACUGUUCGUUCUCAGCCACCCAGCUCUGAAGUGCCUAUAUGUAUGUCGUUUGUACAGUCUUCAGCAUUAAGUGCACUUGUCAGGUCCACUGCAUGUCCUGUUUUGUAUAGCCGUUCAAAUGAACGCACAGUGAGAAAA